CCAUUAAAAUCGACAUGGUAAACUAAAUCCCUUCCCUAAACCAACUCGAAUCUCCUAUUUCUUUCCUUAAAACCCCGAUUUCGAACUCUCACCACAACUUCCUUUUCCCACCGUACAUCGGCGUUACGCUCACGUCGACCACCACCAGAGGUAACCGAUUUUCUCACCACCUAAACUGAACCUAUCUACCCUCAAAACGACCCUCCUCCUUCUCGCCUUCUCGACCGAAUAACUCCCGAUGUUCGGCCAAGAGCCUCCUCUUAUUUGGUGAUUUUCUAUUGUUCUUCUCCACCCCCUCCUUUGUCAUUGCAUGCCAAUUUCUUUCUGUUUGGUGAGACUUUGGUUGGAGCAGAUUCCACGUGAUAUUCUGAAGAUGGCAUUAUUGGCUAAAGUAUGGGUCUUGUUCGGUGAGUGACAGCAGCACGUGAGAAGCAUGGGCUUGUUUUACAACCUGCAA